CCGCAGUAUUUUAACUGUGCAAAGGUCAGCAUAAUCAUUAGUCUUUUAAUUGAAGGCUGGAAUGAAUGGUUGAAUGAAAUAUUAACUGUUUCAAAUAAAUUUUUAAUAGAAUUUUAUUUUUUAGUUAAAAAGCUAAAAUUUAUUUAAAAGACGAGAAGACCCUAUAAAUCUUUAUAUUUUUAUUUAUUUAUAUUGUAUUGAUAAUUUAAAUUUUUAUUAAUAAAAAUAUUUUAUUGGGGUGAUAUUAAAAUUUAAUGAACUUUUAAUAAAAAAUUAACAGAAAUUAUUGAAAUGUUGAUCCAUAAAUUAUGAUUAAAAAAUUAAGUUACUUUAGGGAUAACAGCGUAAUUUUUUUAGAGAGUUUUUAUUAAUAAAAAAGUUUG
rnacentral:rRNA from 1 species